rnacentral:rRNA from 1 species
GACGUGAGGGGCAAGCGUUGUUCGGAAUUACUGGGCGUAAAGGGCCCGCAGGCGGGCUAGUAAGUCGGGUGUGAAAGACCGGAGCUUAACUUCGGAAUUGCGCCCGAAACUGUUGGUCUUGAGUGCGAGAGAGGAUGCUGGAAUUCCUGGUGUAGGGGUGAAAUCUUUAGAUAUCAGGAGGAACACCUGGGGCGAAGGCGGGCAUCUGGCUCUGCACUGACGCUUAGGGGCGAAAGCGUGGGUAG